rnacentral:lncRNA from 1 species
GUGUGUGUGUGUGUGUGUGUGUGUGUGCGCGUGUGUGUGUGCGUGUGUGUGUGUGCGUGUGUGUGUUCAAGUGCGCGCACCAAGCUGGAUCCCUCGGUUCCUCUUCCCGCUUCAGAGCCUGGCCUGGGAAGGGGCGAGGCCGCCGGUCCCGCCCGCAGUCACCGGACGAAUAAGAAUUCUUGCAUCGGAAUAGAUGGAUUUCAUGCAUUGCAGCAGGGUCACAAGUUACCUGAGGAUUAGAGACCUGUAAUCCCUCCCAGGCGUGCACAGCGAAACAGAAAGUCCCAAGACCUUACAGCCAAAGCAAGGGCAGGCAUCUGGGUGCUUGGAACAGCAUCGGAGUCUGCCCAGUAACCAAUCUGAGAGGUGGCUGUGUUUCCAGGAAGCCCAAGGAGAGCAAAGCCUGAAUUCUGGGGAUUGAAGAUGUUGCCAAUGGUAGAAUACUUUCCUAGCAGGCUUGGUAAGGCUACAACGUCUGACUUUGUUCUCCAGUCACAAAUGCAAUAGUUAAAAACAAAACAACAACAAAAACAACAUAAUAAACAUCUUUGUGAACUUUGUGACUUCUGGAAACUUCUUUAACUCUGGGAGUUUUCCCAUACCAGGUCAAACAGGAAGGCAGGCUAAAGGACACUGAAGGGAGCAAAUACCUACAGGUGUUUGCUUUUCUCUUUGACCCAUCCGUGACCCCAGGAUGAGUAAGACUGUGGGCCUCCAGCUGGAGUUCAUCCUGGGCCCCUUUCCUGGAUUUGACUUGCUGCUCUUCCCAGAGCCACCACUUAGGAAAUGAUGCCAGUCGGGUUGGGAGGUGUCUGUGUCUGGCCUUAGGCGGGAGCAGAACAACGGCUGG